AUACACGGGUCUCUUUUAAUUUCCUCGCAAAAUAAAAGAAAUUUAAGAUAAAUAUUCCGUAGGAAUGACUAAUAAGCAUCCCUUCCACAGUUUUCCAUUUCAUUUCCAUCUCACUUUCUCUUUCUAGCAACCAUGGUUUCAACUCUUUUAUGGCUUCAUCCUCUACCCCUCUUCCCCUCUCCUCCUCACACUUCAAUCUUACGAAACUCUAGCACUAGAUCAAUCUUGUUGUCGAAUCGCUGCAUCGUAAUCGCUACUAGCUAGUCAAACACCAGUUCCUCUCUCUCCUCCAACCAACAGUCACAACUCACAACCUUCCGCCAACUUCCGCCACAUAUCGCCACCUCUUCGUUGCUUCCCCAAUCACUUCCACCGCUUACAUUAGCGUGGAGUAUUACCAGUUCACUGAAGUCCCAUCCAGUUCUUCAUUUCCAUCAAAAACACCUGUUGCUAUAGGGGCACCAGAAGAAUAAAUGAUCAUGGUCUUCAUCUCCUUGACCACAAAUCAGGCAUCUUGCAGAGGGACUGAUGCCUAUUCUUGUAAGCUUGGUUGUAGUUUGUAGCCUAAAUUGAAUUACACGCCAAACAAUGAAUCUGUGUUUAUGUUGUUAAUUUCUUGGAUUGUAAUGAUUACAGAUAAUUAUUUCAUUGA